AUUGAACGCUGGCGGCAUGCCUUACACAUGCAAGUCGAACGGUAACGCGGGGCAACCUGGCGACGAGUGGCGAACGGGUGAGUAAUGCAUCGGAACGUGCCCAGUAGAGGGGGAUAGCCCGGCGAAAGCCGGAUUAAUACCGCAUACGACCUAUGGGUGAAAGCGGGGGAUCGAAAGACCUCGCGCUAUUGGAGCGGCCGAUGUCAGAUUAGGUUGUUGGUGGGGUAAAAGCCUACCAAGCCUGGGAUCUGUAGCUGGUCUGAGAGGACGACCAGCCACACUGGGACUGAGACACGGCCCAGACUCCUACGGGAGGCAGCAGUGGGGAAUUUUGGACAAUGGGCGCAAGCCUGAUCCAGCCAUGCCGCGUGCGGGAAGAAGGCCUUCGGGUUGUAAACCGCUUUUGUCGGGGAAGAAAUCUUCUGGGCUAAUACCUUGGGAGGAUGACGGUACCCGAAGAAUAAGCACCGGCUAACUACGUGCCAGCAGCCGCGGUAA
rnacentral:rRNA from 1 species